rnacentral:rRNA from 1 species
AGAGUUUGAUCCUGGCUCAGAACGAACGCUGGCGGCGUGGAUAAGACAUGCAAGUCGAACGGGACUAUUUCUAGUAGCAAUACCGGGAAUAGUUUAGUAGCGAACGGGUGCUUAACACGUGGGCAACCUGCCAUGAAGUGGGGGAUAGCUCGCCGAAAGGCGAAUUAAUACCGCAUGUGAUUAGAGAGGACAUCCUUUCGAAAUUAAAGCUGGGGCAACCUAGCGCUUCUUGUGGGGCCCGCGGCCUAUCAGCUAGUUGGUGAGGUUACGGCUCACCAAGGCUUUGACGGGUAGCUGGUCUGAGAGGACGACCAGCCACACUGGGACUGAGACACGGCCCAGACACCUACGGGUGGCAGCAGUCGAGAAUUUUUGACAAUGGGGGAAACCCUGAUCGAGCGACGCCGCGUGGAGGAUGAAGGUCUUCGGAUUGUAAACUCCUGUCAUUGGGGAACAAUGCACAGAUAUUAACUGUAUUUGUGUUGAUAGUACCCGAAGAGGAAGGGACGGCUAACUCUGUGCCAGCAGCCGCGGUAAUACAGAGGUCCCAAGCGUUGUUCGGAUUCAUUGGGCGUAAAGGGUGCGUAGGCGGCGCGGUAAGUCGGGUGUGAAAUCUCGGGGCUUAACUCCGAAACUGCAUUCGAUACUGCCGUGCUUGAGGACUGGAGAGGAGACUGGAAUUUACGGUGUAGCGGUGAAAUGCGUAGAUAUCGUAAGGAAGACCAGUGGCGAAGGCGGGUCUCUGGACAGUUCCUGACGCUGAGGCACGAAGGUCAGGGGAGCAAACGGGAUUAGAUACCCUAGUAGUCC